AACGAACGCUGGCGGCAGGCCUAACACAUGCAAGUCGAACGCUCGUAGCAAUACGAGAGUGGCAGACGGGUGAGUAACACGUGGGAACCUUCCCUAUGGUUCGGAAUAGCCCAGGGAAACUUGGGGUAAUACCGGAUAAGCCCUUCGGGGAAAGAUUUAUCGCCAUUGGAUGGGCCCGCCGUCGGAUUAGCUAGUUGGUGGGGUAACGGCCUACCAAGGCGACGAUCCGUAGCUGGUCUGAGAGGAUGAUCAGCCACACUGGGACUGAGACACGGCCCAGACUCCUACGGGAGGCAGCAGUGGGGAAUAUUGGACAAUGGGCGCAAGCCUGACGACGCAACGCCGCGUGGAGGACGAAGAUCUUCGGGUCGUAAACUCCUGUCGAGUGGGAAGAAU
rnacentral:rRNA from 1 species